UCACGAACCGGGAGAUCAUGACCUCGGCCAAGGACAGACGGUUAACCUAAUGAGCCACCCAGCAUCACCUUCAUCCAAAGAUGACUCCUAAUUAAGGUCUCAGUACUUCCCAGUAUUUCUGCAGCUACAUAUCCAGGAAAAGAGAAGUUGGGUCUCUUCUAGAAACACUCAGAAGGAUAGAAUGAAGAGGAAAUGGCUGAGUGGAGGUGAGAAUGAAGAAACAUGGAGACAAAUGGACUUGUAGCUGUAAAGAACAGAUGGCUGCAGAGGAAACAAGUGUGCAGUUCAACUCCAUUUCCUUAUCCUCUCAACUUGGCCUUAUUUCAUCAGGCUAUGUUUCCUUGAUAUUUUUUACAGAAAGCAAAAUUUUUAAUACCAAAUGUUCUUCUCCUUCCUAUACCAAGUAUUUUUAGGAAGUAUUUUCCUACUGUAACCUGAAUGCCAUAUUUACCUUCACUUAUUUUGCAGAUUUUUUUUAUAGACACCACAUUCUUUCCUGGUUUUGUUUACUCACUUUUAUUAAAGUAGAAAUAUACACAGCCCUAA